rnacentral:RNase_P_RNA from 2 species
GCAGCGGGUGGGACGGCCGCCGUUCGACGGGCUUGAAAGGGCCUGUUGGAGGGAGGAAAGUCCGAACUCCAGAGGGCAGUGUGCCGGGUAAUUCCCGGUCGGGGCAACUCGAAGGACAGUGGCACAGAAAAGAUACCGCCCACCUUCGCUCUCGGCUCUUCGAGCCUCGAGCUUCGGUGGGUAAGGGUGAAAAGGUGCGGUAAGAGCGCACCGCGCAGGCCGCAAGGGCUGUGGCAGGCAAAACCCCACACGGAGCAAGGCCAAAUAGGGAGGCGUUCGAGGACGGCCCGUCCAAUCGUCUUCGCCAGGGCCGCGGCAUUCGUCGCGGUCGGACGCGAGGGCACACGCUUCCGGGUAGGUCGCUCGAGCCCGCCAGUAAUGCCGGGCCUAGAGGAAUGGUCGUCACCACGUCGACGCUCGCGCGAGCGGGCGAAGGCGGGGCACAGAAUUCGGCUUAUACACCCGCUGCACCG